UCUACUGCAGAAGACCUCAAUAAUGCAUAAGAACAUCUGGAAGUACGGUAAUUUCAGCUAUCAGAGAUAAGAAUUGACACAGAACAGUAUUGCUCUAAGUCUUGUGUUGACCAGGGGUGGCUCUGAAGUUGGAUGAAGGAGAUUUUCCAGUGACUGCAAUACACUCAGAUGUCUUAUGAAUCUCCCACUGGAAAGGCUGUGAUCAUCCAGCAUUCCUUGGGUGUGUCCAUGUGUCCAUUCCCACUAUCAACUUCACAACGCCUGGACCAAUGUGAACCAAAUCAG